rnacentral:sRNA from 1 species
AGGACGCGUAUGGGGAGGUGGAGAUGAACGACGGGAAGCUCUACGACGCCUACGUCUCCUACAGCGACUGCCCCGAGGACCGCAAGUUCGUGAACUUCAUCCUAAAGCCGCAGCUGGAGCGGCGUCGGGGCUACAAGCUCUUCCUGGACGACCGCGACCUCCUGCCGCGCGCUGGUAUCCCGGGCCCCGCCCCGUGCCCCGCCCACCCGGAGGUCCCGCCCCGCCCCAUGCUCCGUCCCACCCGGGGCCCCACCCCCACCAUCGAGCUCCGCCCACCCCGAGGCCCCGCCUCAAAAACCCGCCCCACCCCGCAGGCCCCGCCCCUCCCAUAGAGCUCUGCGUCCGGUGCCG